GCAUCUGUGGUUCAGUGGUAGAAUGCUCGGCUGCCACGCGGGCGGCCCUGGUUCGAUUCCCGGCCGAUGCA
rnacentral:tRNA from 1 species